rnacentral:rRNA from 1 species
AGAGUUUGAUCAUGGCUCAGGAUGAACGCUGGCGGCGUGGAUAAGGCAUGCAAGUCGAACGGACCUUGUUCUUCUGAUCGAUAAAGUAGAGUGGAGUAGCAAUACAAUACAAAGCAAUAUUUUGAAGAAGGACGCUGGUUAGUGGCAGACGAGGUAGUAAUACAUAGGUACGUACCCCCGAGUCGUGAAUAACGCACCGAAAGGUGUGCUAAUACACGAUAGUCUCUCCGGAGUAAAGUUUUUCGCUCGGGGAACGGCCUGUGAGAUAUCAGCUAGUUGGUACGGUAAUGGCGUACCAAGGCUAUGACGUCUAGGGGAGGUGAGAGCCUGACCCCCACCGAUGGGACUGAGACACGGCCCAUACACCUACGGGUGGCUGCAGUCAAGAACCUUCCACAAUGGACGAAAGUCUGAUGGAGCGACGCCGCGUGAUUGAUGAAGUGGUUCGCCACGUAAAGAUCUUUUAUGAGGGAAGAAGUAUAUUGACGGUACCUCAUGAAUAAGGGGCUCCUAACUCUGUGCCAGCAGGAGCGGUAAUACAGAGGCCCCGAGCGUUAUCCGGAAUUAUUGGGCGUAAAGGGUGUGUAGGUGGCAUUGUUAGUCGUUUGUGAAAGCCCGGGGCUUAACCUCGGGUCCGCGAACGAAACGGCAAAGCUUGAGUAUGUGAGAGGUAAGCGGAACUCAUGGUGUAGGGGUGAAAUCCGUUGAUAUCAUGGGGAACACCAAAAGCGAAGGCAGCUUACUGGCGCAUUACUGACACUGAAACACGAAAGCGUGGGUAGCGAAUGGGAUUAGAUACCCUAGUAGUCC